GACGAACGCUGGCGGCAUGCCUAACACAUGCAAGUCGAGCGAGCAGAUCCCUUCGGGGUGAAGCUAGCGGCGGACGGGUGAGUAACACGUGGGCAACCUGCCUCAUAGAGGGGAAUAGCCUUCCGAAAGGAAGAUUAAUACCGCAUAAGAUUGUAGCUUCGCAUGAAGUAGCAAUUAAAGGAGCAAUCCACUAUGAGAUGGGCCCGCGGCGCAUUAGCUAGUUGGUGAGGUAACGGCUCACCAAGGCGACGAUGCGUAGCCGACCUGAGAGGGGGAUCGGGCACAUUGGGACUGAGACACGGCCCAGACUCCUACGGGAGGCAGGAGUGGGGAAUAUUGCACAAGGGGGGAAACCCUGAUGCAGCAAUGCCGCGUGAGUGAUGACGGCCUUCGGGCUGUAAAGCUCUGUCUUCGGGGACGAUAAUGACGGUACCCGAGGAGGAAGCCACGGCUAACUACGUGCCAGCCGCCGCCGUAA
rnacentral:rRNA from 1 species